rnacentral:sRNA from 1 species
UGAGCAUCUGGUGGCUCCCCCAGCACCUGGCUUAUGCCCCCUCAGGUACCUGGAAGCUGUGAGGAGGCUGAAGGUGGAGGGCCACCGGUUCCCCAGAACCAUCCACAUGACCUUUGUACCUGAUGAGGAGGUUGGUGGUCACCAAGGCAUGGAGCUGUUCGUGCAGCGGCCUGAGUUCCAUGCCCUGAGGGCAGGCUUUGCCCUGGAUGAGGGCAUAGCCAAUCCCACUGAUGCCUUCACUGUCUUUUAUAGUGAGCGGAGUCCCUGGUGGGUGCGGGUCACCAGCACUGGGAGGCCAGGCCAUGCCUCACGCUUCAUGGAGGACACAGCAGCAGAGAAGCUGCACAAGGUUGUGAGCUCCAUCCUGGCAUUCCGGGAGAAGGAAUGGCAGAGGCUGCAGUCAAACCCCCACCUGAAAGAGGGGUCCGUGACCUCCGUGAACCUGACUAAGCUAGAGGGUGGCGUGGCCUAUAACGUGAUACCUGCCACCAUGAGCGCCAGCUUUGACUUCCGUGUGGCACCGGAUAUGGACUUCAAG